rnacentral:tRNA from 1 species
GGGCCUUUGGCUCAGUUGGUUAGAGCAGCGGACUCAUAAUCCGUCGGUCCUAGGUUCAAGUCCUAGAAGGCCCA